GGGAGGGAGGGUGUCAGGGAGGCGGGAGGCACCCCUGGAAAUGGGUCAGGGCAGUGCCUGGUGGCUCAAACAGCCCAGGCACAUAUCUAGGCCAGGGUGCCCUACCACCUGGGCUCCCCCCUUGAUAUCGUCCUCAGGCCCCUUCCGCCUUUGACUUCACCUUGACCUCUGUCCCUGGGCUGAAGCACAGGUGACCAUCCCGCUGCUCCUGCCCCCAGCUGUUGUUAUCCUUUGAAUUGCAGACGAUGAUGGAUUCACGGAAGCGUGGGUUGAAAUGCAGGUUCAGUUUAUCUGUCCCCUGGCCCAGAUUAAUCACAAAGCUGCAGGGGAAGGAGUAACAGGUGAGAAUAAGAGGCCAGCCCCGGGUAAAACAGCUUGGGUCGCAGGGUCUUGGUUGACCACAAACUGGAAGAAUCACCAAAGGUUGUGUUAAUGAGGUCUGUGCCUUAAAACAAGGGAGGUGACAACUUGGUCAUACUUGGCACAGGAGCAUCACAUUCCAUUUAGAGCACAGACUACAGUUCUUGACAAGAGGGUAACCAAUAGUGACAUUUCAGGAAAUGAAGGUGUCUAUCCUGGGGGAAAGAAUUCCUGUUCUUAACUAUCUGAAGACCCAUUCAGUUUGGUGAGCUCCCUGUCAUUAAAGGUAUGCAGUCAGGAGUUGUGUGAUCUCUUGGAAAGAUCACUACAGCGGCCUGAGUUAGACCUUCAGGGUCCCUGAGAGUGGGACAUUCUGAGUCAUGGGGUGCCUUCGUUGGGAGGUCUCAGAGCAGAGGUAUCCCACAUUUUUGCAACCUUUGAGGACCCAAGCAGGAGAAAGGGGUGACUUUUCUCUUGGCUCCUACAUAAUGCAUCUGCCUGCCCCUCUCCAACCAAAAGUUGAUCAAGAGCAGUCCCAGGAUAUGCUGACCUUGUCCUGCACACAGGAGAGCCUAAGGCAGAGCUGUAACACCUGAGGCAGAGAAAUGCCUCCGAUUCUGAGAGGAUGCAAAUGGGAUCGCUUGGCGCCCCCUGGCGGCUGUCCCUGGUUUAAUGUGUGUGAAAGGCCAGCCUCUGACCCUUCAGCUGGGUCAAGAAGGUGGUGUCCCAGGGGUUCGGGCCUUCAGCAGAGGCAUCUGACUCGCUGAGGAAGGGCAGAGCUUCAGGGAUUUCUCACUUGCCCCUUCAGUGUCUGUUGGGGCCAAGGAACGGAGCACGUGGCGUCCACUGUGAAUUCUGGAGGUCCCCGAACCUGGCCUCCGAUGUGAAAGCAGACCUGACAGAAGAGGAGCCAGCGGGAGUGUGGGAGCAGUGUGAGAGGAGCAAGAGUGCACAGAAGGCCCCCGGUCUGAGUUCACUCUCAUUGUCCGACCAUCUCACAAGGCUGCCCUGCCUGCCCCACCUUCCCAGCCUGUUCCAGCUCUGGGGGAAGAAAGCAAGUAAGCCAGGUUAGUUAUCAGUAGUCCUAUGGAGAAGCCCACAUGCCAAGGAACUGAUGUCUCUAGUCAACCAGUGAUGAGGACCUGAGCCCCACCAAUACCUAUGUGAAUGAACUUGGCAGUGGAUCUUCUCCCAUCUGAGCCUUGGGAUGGUUGGUGUCGCCCACACUUUGACUGCAGCCUUGUGAGAGACCCUGAGCCAGAAGACACCCAGCUAAGUCCUGUCUGGAUUCCUGCCCCCAGGAGUGCCGCCCCACUGUGGGAUUUUAGCUCCUCGACCAGGGAUGGAACCUGUACCCCUUGCAGUGGAAGCACGGAGCCCUAACCACGGGACGGCCAGGGAAUUUCUCUUCUGAUUUUAUAAGAGAUUAAAACCUUUUGGUGGGCCCCUAAAGGGUCUGGGCCUGAGCCACUGUGUCUGCUGGGCCUAAUGGAGACUUAGGCCCAUGGCUUCUGGUAACUGUCACCCACUGGCCUCCUGCUGUUGGGGGACUUUGGUCCUGAGGUGUGUGGGAUCCCUGCUUAUCUCUUCUCCUGUCCUUUUCCACCCAAAGAACAAACAAAUCAGCACAUCAGUGGUAUCUGUCUGCACUUCCCUCCCUGCUCAUUCCAUCCCCAACAUCCCCAGGAAGGAGGGGGGCUUGUGGAAAGCACUGAGCUUUUGGCAUCAAAUGGGCAAAUAACACAUCCUGCUUCUUGUCACCUACAAGCUGAGGAGCCACGUCAAGUCACUUCAAUCCUCAGUUUCUUCAUCUGUGAAAUGGAGCUGAUAGUAUCUUUUUCACAGGAUGAUUGUGAGAUUUUUUUUUUCAUGUUUCUUCCCUCUUUUUUUUUUUUUUUUUUUUGUUUUGCUGCUCAGUAUAUGGGAUCUUAGUUCCCCAACCAGGGAUCGAACUUGUGCCCCCUGCAGUGGAAGCGAGGAGUCCUAACCACUGGACUGCCAGGGAAUUCCCAAUUGUGAGAAUUUUUAAAGAUUUUUUUUAAUUAAUUAAUUUAUUUUAUUUUUAUUGGCUGCACUGGGUCUUCACCACUGUGCAGGGCUUUCUCUAGCUGCGGCGAGUAGGGGCUACUCUUUGUUGUGGUGCACGGGCUUCUCAUUGCGGUGGCUUCUCUUGUUGUGGAGCACAGGCUCUAGGUGCUCAGGCUUCAGUAGUUGUGGCACACAGGCUUAGUUGCUCUGCAGCAUGUGGGAUCUUCCUAGAACAGGGAUCAAACCUGUGUCCCCUGCAUUGGCGGGUGGAUUGUUUACCACUGAGCCACCAGAGAAGUCCCUAAUUUAAUUUUUUUAAUUAAAAAAAGUUAACCUAUGUAGCACGUGGGGUGCAUAAUAGAUGCUAAAAAUUAAAUUAAAAAAAUUAAAUAAUAAAAAUCCUCCCUUCCUUGCUUUGAGGGCGAAUUCCUAAAUGGGCAGAGGUUUCACCUAAGACGAUGAAGCCAAGUACCCAGGACAGUGAAGAGAGCAGAAGCGCAGAGCAAAUUUGCAACGAGCAGCAUCCAACAGCCUGCACUCUGGCUGGUGAGCACAUCUCUUCCCCUGCUCCUGAGAAGACAGUGUCCAUCCUCCCAGAGCCCAGGGGGCCUGGGACGGGAGCAUGGUGGGUAAGGAGAAAGAUGCUGUUGACAACCAGAUGUACCAUCUCAAGGGGCCAAAUUGAUCACAUCAGCAAGUUAGGGGCCCCGUUCCUCCUGGACGAUCUGGGGCUCACGAUCUGUGCUUUCCAGUCCCGACGCGGAGCAAAACCCCUCUUAGUCCCACAAUCUUUCUUCAGUUGUGUUAGCCUCAGGCACAGGGAGGUCUGCCUAUAGCUGUGUGACCUUGGGCAAGUCACAUAACCCCUCUGGGCUUCAGCUGGUCCCUCUGCAGAAUGGGAACUGUAACUGUCACACCUCACAGGGUAGAUGUGAGCCUUAAGAGACAAUGAAUGUGAGGUGCGAAGCACAGUGCCAACCCAU